UACAUUUAGCCAAGUUGAAGAAGUGGUACUUCAAAAAAUAUUUUGAUAUUGUACUUUAUCCCAAAGAAAAUUAAUUAUUUUUAUCAAGUUAUUCAAGCUCAUGUUUCUGUAAGUCACUAUUCAGAGGCUUCUCAGAGAGGUUUUUUAGCUUUGGCAUCUAGGAUUUCAAUCCCAAUAAUAAAGGGGAGCAUUGUAGUAACCGAUAAAGUUUCCUACAUGUGAAAAAGAUGUCACAGGUUCAAGCCUUGGAAACAGCCUCUUGCAGAAAUACAAGGCACUAAGGUGAAUAAAGUGUUUAUGAAGGAGAAAAUUGCUUAAGUCCUUUCCUUCAAGAGACGUGAAGACAAUGACUAGACAAAUGACAACUUUUACAUUCUUUUUUUUGAGAAUUAGUUUUUUUGUGAACACGAUUUUUCAUUGAGAUCAGUUACUUCGGUUCCAAGGCUUAAUUAUUAUGUAUUGGCUUUUAUGUUUUGUUUUUUGGGAAUACGUUUUG